AUUGAACGCUGGCGGCAGGCCUAACACAUGCAAGUCGAACGAGUGGCGCACGGGUGAGUAAUGUCUGGGAAACUGCCCGAUGGAGGGGGAUAACUACGGGAAACGGAAGCUAAAACCGCAUACCAUCGGAUGUGCCUAGACGGGAUUAGCUUGUAGUUGGGGUAACGGCUCACCUAGGCGACGACCCCGAGCUGGUCCGAGAGGAUGACCAGCCACACUGGAACUGAGACACGGUCCAGACUCCUACGGGAGGCAGCAUUGGGGAUGAUUGCACAAUGGGCGCAGGCCGGAUACAGCCAGGCCGCGUGUAUGAAGAAGGCCUUCGGUUUGUAAAGUACUUUCAUCGGGGAGGCGUUACUCGCAGAAGAAGCACCGGCUAACUCCGUGCCAGCAGCCGCGGUAAUUC
rnacentral:rRNA from 1 species